rnacentral:rRNA from 1 species
GACGAACGCUGGCGGCGUGCCUAACACAUGCAAGUCGAGCGGAGGAUGCGGCGUAGUAAUACAAAGUAUCUUUAGCGGCGGACGGGUGAGUAACACGUGGGUAACCUGCCUCAGAGUGGGGGAUAGCCUUUCGAAAGGAAGAUUAAUACCGCAUAAGAUUGUAGCGUCACAUGGCGCAGCAAGAAAGGAGCAAUCCGCUUUGAGAUGGACCCGCGGCGCAUUAGCUAGUUGGUGAGGUAACGGCUCACCAAGGCCACGAUGCGUAGCCGACCUGAGAGGGUGAUCGGCCACAUUGGAACUGAGACACGGUCCAGACUCCUACGGGAGGCAGCAGUGGGGAAUAUUGCACAAUGGGCGAAAGCCUGAUGCAGCAACGCCGCGUGAGUGAUGAAGGCCUUCGGUCGUAAAGCUCUUUGUAUCAGGGAUGAUAAUGACAGUACCUGAAAACAAGACCACGGCUAACUAACGUGCCAGCAGCCG